UUUGUAUACCAUAAAAAAAAUUUAAUACCAUUUCAAAGAUGAAGAUCCAAGAGUAGUAGUAUAUAUAGGAACAAAUCGAUCUAAAGAGUAUUUAUACAUAAAUAAAUAAAUAUACACCACAAGAGCUCUACAAGAACUUUUCAAUGGAGGUAGAGAGUGUAGAUUUAGGAACUGCACCAAUAACUGCAUCUUUCUUCUCACCACCUUUGAAUAUAAUAACAGUGGGGAUGCUUCUGAUCCCAUAUUGGCUUGCAAUUGUGGGGCUUUCAUCAGUAUUCACCUUGUAACAAGCGAGUUUCCCUGUGUACUCCUUUGCAAGUUCAUCGAUGAUCGGGUGGAUCAUGCGACAAGGCCCGCACCAUGGGGCCCAGAACUCAACCAGUACAGGGACAUCAGACUCCAGGACAUUUUUUUCUUCCUGAGCCUGGCAAACAAUACGUGCGCUUAAUUUACGUCCCAACUUAGGCGAUCCAAACGACUGGAUUCUCAAACCUCUUGAUGCCUGCAAAUUUACAAAGUUCCGUGAUGUCGCUGGGACGGCAGAGGCCCGGGGAAGUGUAAGAGUUUCAAGAACACGAGCCAUCUAACUAUACAAAGAGAAGAAAUGGAGUUUCUGUUGUGUGGAUGAACCAGAAUAGAUAAUUGG
rnacentral:lncRNA from 1 species